GGCAACUUGGCCGAGCGGUCUAAGGCGCCACGUUCAGGUAUCACCUGGAUCGAUAUCCACUUGGAUUUCGUGGUCCGAAAGGGCGUGAGUUCGAAUCUCACAGUUGUCA
rnacentral:tRNA from 1 species